rnacentral:sRNA from 1 species
GGUCGACAUAAGUCAACAGUUGUCGUUCGCCUACCUAACAGAUCGUCUGCAGUGUUCCUAGCUCCAGUUUGUCUGUAGUUUUCCUAGCUCGCAGUUCGUCUAGUAAACGGCUUGUCUGCAGCUUUUGUGGCUCGCAAUUCGCCUAGCUAACAGCUCGUCUACAGUUUUCCCAGCUCGAAGUUUGUUUAGCAAACGGCUCGUCUACAACUUUCAUACCUCGCAGUUUGCUCGCCUAACAGCUCGUCAACAGCUAGGAGUUCAUCAAUAAAUCGCCUAGGUGGAAACUCAUCAACAGUCUUCCUAGCUCAUCAACGGUCUUCAUAGCUAGCCGCUCAUCUACAACUUUCUUAGCUAAUAGCCCAUUAGCAACUUUCCUAGGUCGCAGCUCGUUAACAGAGCUAACAGCUCGUUAUCAGCUAACAUUUCAAAGUCGGGAUAACAACACCCAACACGAGCAAUAUCUCGUAGCACCAAGGAAAAAUCAUCUUUUCUACUAUUCCUUCUCCAACAAGUCAAGUCAAUAACAUGGGGAGCUCCAAAGAAGGUUACCAAGACUCCAAAAUUCCAGAUCUCAACUUGAGCAUCAUCGCGUCUCCCCUUCCUUCGCUAAAAGUUUUGAAGCAGCACAAAAUGACUUUUACUUUCGUCAUCAUGAUUUCGAUCACCAAUGGAGCAUCAAAACAACUCAAAAAGUUACGAUAUUUGCUGGAAUAAUCAGCAAUAGUCACACAAAGCAAAAAAGAAAGCGGAUCACGAUUUGAGGUUAUGAUUUGAAAGUUAUGAUUUUUUUUCCAAGACGAUUCAGAUUGACACCACUUGAAAACAUCCAACUUCGUGAGCAAUUCAACAUAAUUUACAUGGCGAUCAGCAUAUCAGUUUGAAGCCCCGAGGCCUAUCUUUCUAGAAAGACCAACCUACACCUUAAUGUCUAACUCAUCAAAGAGUUAUCACAAGAUCUCUGUGUCCGCUGUAAAGUAAUCACUAGUCGGUAGGAACGACCCUUCAUAGACGAACAAUGCAACACUAGCAUCAGAACAACAACUCUGAGCUCAGCCUCUCACCAUUUCUGCUCCCAUCAAGAUAAGUAUUCAUGCUUUACACUUUAUCAUUUAAUCUUCACAUUUGUUGAUUGUUGAAGUUAAACUCUAAAUUGAGUCCAGAUUCAAAAAGCCUAGUUUACCUAGCAUCGAGCUACAUUCAAAAGAUGAGAAUAAUUCUCGCAGUUAAGCCGAGCUCAACGCUCGCAAUUACACCUAUAAAUUGAGCCGAGUUCAACGCUUGCUUUUAUGUGAAUAAAUGUUUUGUAAAAACUGAGACCUCGUCUUGCAUUAAAUCUUUAAAACAGGAUAAGCCGAGAGUUCCUCGCACCUUAAAAUAAGCUGAAAAGCUCACGUAUCUUACUAAACCAAAUGAUACUGGCAUGUUUGCAGCUCAUCGCAACUUAUGUUUUGCAGUUCAACUGCCCGGCUAUCUCGCAGAUCGCUAGACAGAUGAUCCAGCUGCUCAUAUGGCAGAAUAUCUCGCAGCGCGUCAGCCAGAUCUUCUAGCCGCUCAUCUGGCAGUCCUUUUUGCAACUCACCAGACAGAUCAUCCAGCUGCUCAUAUGGCAGUUCAUCUUGCAACUCGCCAGACAUAUUAUCUAGCAGCUCAUCAGCCAGAUCAUCCAGCCGCUCACCUGGCAGUUCAUCUUGCAACUCGCCAGACAGAUCAUCUAGCAGAUCAUCUUGCAGCUCGUUAGUCAAAUCAUCUAGCAGCACAUCGCAGUUCUUUAGCCCAUGUUCUUCAGUUCAUCCUUCACAACUCAACGAAAUUCAUGCCUUGCAGCUCAUGUUUGAAAGCUCUUCAACUCAUGGCUCGUAACACAUUCAUCGCAGCUCAACGGCUCAUGCUCGUUAGGCUCAUCAGACUACCUAACUCACGAGCUUAGCCUUGUUUUAUAUUUUCGACGCAUGCCAAGCUAGAUUGUCGUAUCUUGGAGGUUCAACGGUUCAAAAUUUAAUUCGCAUCUUCAUAAAGUAUAAGCCGAAUAUUCACUUCUUUUA